GGAACUCACUCUCGCCGGCCACCCAGAGGAAGUUGGGGGACAAGGCCCUCCCCGCCCAGGAGAAGAACUCCCGCGACCAGCUGCUGGCCGCCAUCCGCUCCAGCAACCUCAAGCAGCUCAAGAAGGUGGAAGUGCCCAAGCUGCUGCAGUAGGGCCAGGCUGCGGGCACCACCCCUGGGCUGCCCAGACCCGCCCCGGCUGGCCUGCUGCGUCCGUCUGCCCGGGGCCCUGAGGCCGGGCCACGCCCUCUCAUCCGGACAUUUCCUCUCCACGGGCCGAUGUUUCUGGGCAAGAAGAGUCCUUCAGGCACCACUCGGAGGAGAUGGCGCGGGGAGCCGGGGAGGAUGUGCACAGGGACCAGUCGGCCCAGCCCCGCCCGCCAGGGCCAGGAUUCAGCUCUGAGGAGCCCUGGGCAAGGCUGCUGGGCUGGUGUGCAGGGCAGGGCAGACGACGGAGAUGGAGAGGGACGGGGACGGGGCUGUCCGCCCCCGCUGGACUAACAGAGCCUGGACAGACGGACAGUGCCUGGGGAGGGAGGGACAGGCGGCAGCUGGACCUGAAGGUUUGAUGCCAAAGCAGACGUUUUCCUACACCCACUCGCUAUGUUGUGAACCGCUGUCUUUCCAUAAGAUUUUGAUAAUAUAUUCCAGCCUUU